rnacentral:RNase_P_RNA from 1 species
UGGGCAAGCCGGCUCAUCGUUCCUCUGUCAUUGGAUAGAGGGAAGGAAAGUCCGGGCAACACAGAGCACCGUACUUCCUAGCGGGAAGGUCCGGAUAUCGAUUUAUCGGUGGAUGGAACAGAUAGUGCCACAGAAAACAUACAGCCUAAGGAGCUUGCUCCCGGCAAUGGUGAAAAGGUGAGGUAAGAGCUCACCGUUCUCAUAGUGAUAUGAGGAGCAUGGUAAACCUUACGGGUUGAAAGACCAAAUAGAUCCUGUUUAGAGUUGCUCGCUCGUUUGGCAGGAUGGGUAGGUUGAUAAUGAUCCUGGCAGUGAUGUCCGGACCAGAUAAAUGAUGGGCAUCCGCCCUUGCUCCGCUGAAGCAUUGCGAUGCGAAGCAGCUGGCGGAUACAGAACCCGGCUUACAGGCUUGCGAUUUUU